rnacentral:rRNA from 1 species
GAUAAACGCUGGCGGCGCACAUAAGACAUACAAGUCGAACGGACUUAACCAUUAGUUUACUAUUGGAGCGGUUAGUGGCGGACUGGUGAGUAACACGUAAGCAACCUGCCUAUCAGAGGGGAACAACAGUUAGAAAUGACUGCUAAUACCGCAUAUGCCUAAGUACCACAUGGUACAAUAGGGAAAGGAGUAAUCCGCUGAUAGAUGGGCUUGCGUCUGAUUAGAUAGUUGGUGGGGUAAUGGCCUACCAAGUCGACGAUCAGUAGCCGGACUGAGAGGUUGAACGGCCACAUUGGGACUGAGAUACGGCCCAGACUCCUACGGGAGGCAGCAGUCGGGAAUAUUGCGCAAUGGAGGAAACGUACUGACGCAGUGACGCCGCGUGCAGGAAGAAGGUUUUCGGAUUGUAAACCUCUGUGGACAGGGACGAUAAU